rnacentral:rRNA from 1 species
AUUGAACGCUGGCGGCAGGCCUAACACAUGCAAGUCGAGCGGAGCGGCGGACGGGUGAGUAAUGCCUAGGAAUCUGCCUGGUAGUGGGGGAUAACGUCCGGAAACGGGCGCUAAUACCACAUACUAUUCACUGACCCUAGGGCGGCUUGGCUAGUUGGUGGGGUAACGGCCUACCAAGGCGACGAUCCGUAACUGGUCUGAGAGGAUGAUCAGUCACACUGGAACUGAGACACGGUCCAGACUCCUACGGGAGGCAGCAGUGGGGAAUAUUGGACAAUGGGCGAAAGCCUGAUGCAGCCAUGCCGCGUGUGUGAAGAAGGUCUUCGGAUUGUAAAGCACUUUAAGUUGGGAGGCGUUACCAACAGAAUAAGCACCGGCUAACUUCGUGCCAGCCGCCGCGGUAAUAC